AAGGGUGCAGUAGGAUGCUGUCUCUCUUCAUGACAGCUGUGUCCUCAGCUGAGAAAACCUCAAAGUUGAGUGUGACAACACGGGGGCCACUGAAAUCAUCUGAAGGCUAGUUCAUUCACAACUCUAUAGAUUGUGCUGGAUGCCUUCACCUCUAGACCCAGUUAGCUCUUCAGUAAUAUGAGUUCAUUAUCAUCUGAGACUGCAUCCUUGCGAUUUUCUUUGCCUUUACCUUACGGCUGUAAGAGGGCUACCACAUCUCCACAGGUCAAGUCAGCAUUCAAGGAGCAGAAUAUGUACCUGAAUAAUGGUCCUUUACAAGCCAGAAAUCCAACUGAGCCCAUGCAAAAACAUCAAGGCAAGAGCAAGAACUUCAAAAUGAACUACAUGCUUAAUCUUAGAUAGUAUAAUAUUAAUUGAAAGGCAUUUAGUGAUAGACUUGUAUGCUAACAAACUGCACUAGGUUUAACAGGAAUCAUUUCGAGAGGAUAAAGUCGUGGUAGAAAUCUAAAUUGAUUGCUUACCAUUGAUUACAUUAGUCAAAAGCUAAUGUCACUAUCUGUCAGGUAUGAUUAAAGCAAAAAGGAAGAAAGGUGGAAUGGAGAGCAAAUCAACAGAAUGGUAGAAUAGGGGAAAGUAAACACUUUCCAUCAAUUUUGGAAACAAAAGACAAAAUGAUCUAUUUGAGAAAAUCAAAGAGACAAAACCAACUCAGACUUUAUUUCAACUCUUAUUUGUCCUACAUGCUCAUAUUUCAAACUCAGACGUAUACCAGGAAAGAAUGAGAUCCUGGAUGAUGUGACGGGGAGAAGAUAUGGUUCAAGUAUCAGAGAUGGCAUUCAUCACCUGUCAUAAUCUGAAUGGCCCAUGAUUCAAAUUACUUUUAUUAGGCCACUCUCCUGGACAUGUUUCUUGUAUAAUAAUUCAAAAAUUAAUAUUCAUCCUGAAACGUGCUGAAUGAUUUCACAUAUUUUUGGCCAAAAUGCAAGCCAUUUUAUGAAGGAGCGUACUAUACUGCAAAAACUUGAAGACAAGAGAUCUUGGAUUCUAAUUGAUUUUCUCUCUAGACUAAAACAUGUGUGUGGCUUUGGGCAACUUCAGGCUAUCUGGGA
rnacentral:lncRNA from 1 species